rnacentral:sRNA from 1 species
AUUCUUGGUCAUUUUAGAGGAAGUAAAAGUCGUAACAAGGUUUCCGUAGGUGAACCUGCGGAAGGAUCAUUAAUGAAAUGCAAGGACGCUCUUUUUAGAGGUCCGACCCAAAUCAUUUUCCUUUACACUGUGCACAUACUACUUUUUUACACCAAUCUUUAACACAUCAGUCUUAAGAAUGUAAAUCAAGUCUCGAAAGAGCAAUAAAUAAAACAAAACUUUCAGCAACGGAUCUCUUGGCUCUCGCAUCGAUGAAGAACGCAGCGAAAUGCGAUACGUAAUGUGAAUUGCAGAAUUCAGUGAAUCAUCGAAUCUUUGAACGCACCUUGCACUCUUUGGUAUUCCGAAGAGUAUGUCUGUUUGAGUGUCAUGAAACUCUCAACCCCCUCAUUUUGUAAUGAAGUGUAGCGUGGGCUUGGAUUAUGGCUGUCUGUCGGCUUAACCGCCGGCUCAGCUGAAAUACACGAGCAACCCAGUUUAAAACCCUGACGGCUUGACUCGGCGUAAUAAUUAUUUCGCUGAGGACGUCUAACCUUUAAAUCGUUAGUGGUGCUUCUAAUGCAUUAUUCAUUUAAGCUUUAGACCUCAAAUCAGGCAGGACUACCCGCUGAACUUAAGCAUAUCAAUAAGCGGAGGAAAAGAAACUAACAAGGAUUCCCCUAGUAACGGCGAGUGAAGUGGGAAAAGCUCAACUUUGUAAUCUGGCAGCUUCGCUGUCCGAGUUGUAGUCUCGAGAAGUGUUUUCCGCGCUGGACCGUGUACAAGUCUCCUGAAU